rnacentral:rRNA from 1 species
AGUGAACGCUGGCGGUAGGCCUAACACAUGCAAGUCGAACGGCAGCACAGUAAGAGCUUGCUCUUACGGGUGGCGAGUGGCGGACGGGUGAGGAAUACAUCGGAAUCUACUUUUUCGUGGGGGAUAACGUAGGGAAACUUACGCUAAUACCGCAUACGACCUACGGGUGAAAGCAGGGGAUCUUCGGACCUUGCGCGACUGAAUGAGCCGAUGUCGGAUUAGCUAGUUGGCGGGGUAAAGGCCCACCAAGGCGACGAUCCGUAGCUGGUCUGAGAGGAUGAUCAGCCACACUGGAACUGAGACACGGUCCAGACUCCUACGGGAGGCAGCAGUGGGGAAUAUUGGACAAUGGGCGCAAGCCUGAUCCAGCCAUACCGCGUGGGUGAAGAAGGCCUUCGGGUUGUAAAGCCCUUUUGUUGGGAAAGAAAAGCAGCAGGUUAAUACCCCGCUGUUCUGACGGUACCCAAAGAAGAAGCACCGGCUAACUUCGUG